CUCUUCUCGUUCCGUUAUGCAAGGUAGAAGAAGAAGCAACCUGAGCUCUCUGCGAUGGGAGGGGACGGAGGCUGUUCUCCUCCAUCAUCGCCUGUCUGCAGCAUGUGCGGCGACCGCGGCCUGCCGGAGGAGCUCUUUCGAUGCAAAACCUGCCAUGUUAGGUUUCAACACAAAUACUGCAGCAAUCUCUACCCCAAGGCUGAGGCUUAUCGCGCAUGUAACUGGUGCUUAAGAGACGUAGCGGCCGGCAAGCCCGUUGCUCCAGAGAACUGCACAGCUCAGAACACCUCCUUCUCUUCCUCCUCUAAUGGUGAUGUCGUCGGAUCAGCUACAGCAGUGAAGCUACGACGCUGCUCUUCAGUAUUGAAUCUCGACAAGCCCAUCAAAAGACAAAGGCUGCCUGAGAGGCCAUACGAAGCACGGUCACAAGCGAAGCAAGUCUUCAGAGGUAAAGUUAGGAGGUAUAAGUUGCUGGAAGAUGUCUCUAGCUGAGUAUGUGCUUCAGACGCACUCACUGCAGGGUUUUCCUGCAUGUAUCUUCUUAAUAAGAUACCAUGUUUUCA